ACUCCUACGGGAGGCAGCAGUAGGGAAUCUUCCACAAUGGACGAAAGUACUGAUGGAGCAACGCCGCGUGAGUGAAGAAGGGUUUCGGCUCGUAAAACUCUGUUGUUAAAAGAAAGAACAUAUCUGAGAGUAACUGUUCAGGUAUUGACGGUAUUUAACCUAGAAAGCCACGGCUAACUACGUGCCAGCAGCCGCGGUAAUACGUAGGUGGCAAGCGUUGUCCGGAUUUAUUGGGGCGUAAAGCGAGCGCAGGCGGUUUUUAAAGUCUGAUGUGAAAGCCUUCGGCUCAACCGAAGAAGUGCAUCGGAAACUGGGAAACUUGAGUGCAGAAGAGGACAGUGGAACUCCAUGUGUAGCGGUGAAAUGCGUAGAUAUAUGGAAGAACACCAGUGGCGAAGGCGGCUGUCUGGUCUGUAACUGACGCUGAGGCUCGAAAGUAUGGGUAAACAAACAGGAUUAGAUACCCUGGUAGGAUAGCG
rnacentral:rRNA from 1 species